UUGGUGUGAAUUGCAGAAUCCCGCGAACCAUCGAGUCUUUGAACGCAAGUUGCGCCCGAAGCCAUCAGGCCGAGGGCACGUCUGCCUGGGCGUCACGC
rnacentral:rRNA from 6 species